rnacentral:siRNA from 1 species
CACAAAUUUACGACAUAAUAUUGU